ensembl:snRNA U6 U6 spliceosomal RNA
AUGCUCACUUCAGCAGCACAUAUGCUAAAAUUGGAACGAUACAGAGGAGAUUAGCAUGGCCCGUGCACAAGGAUGACAGGCAAAUUCGUGAAGCAUUCCAUUUUUUU